UUGAACGCUGGCGGCAUGCCUUACACAUGCCAGUCGAACGGCAGCGCGGGAGCAAUCCUGGCGGCGAGUGGCGAACGGGUGAGUAAUACAUCGGAACGUGCCCAAUCGUGGGGGAUAACGCAGCGAAAGCUGUGCUAAUACCGCAUACGAUCUACGGAUGAAAGCAGGGGAUCGCAAGACCUUGCGCGAAUGGAGCGGCCGAUGGCAGAUUAGGUAGUUGGUGAGGUAAAGGCUCACCAAGCCUUCGAUCUGUAGCUGGUCUGAGAGGACGACCAGCCACACUGGGACUGAGACACGGCCCAGACUCCUACGGGAGGCAGCAGUGGGGAAUUUUGGACAAUGGGCGAAAGCCUGAUCCAGCCAUGCCGCGUGCAGGAUGAAGGCCUUCGGGUUGUAAACUGCUUUUGUACGGAACGAAACGGUCUUUUCUAAUAAAGAAGGCUAAUGACGGUACCGUAAGAAUAAGCACCGGCUAACUACGU
rnacentral:rRNA from 1 species